AGAGUUUGAUCAUGGCUCAGGACGAACGCUGGCGGCGUGCUUAACACAUGCAAGUCGAGCGGGGAUACCGUUGGAAGUCCUUCGGGAUGGAAGACGGUAUUCUAGCGGCGGACGGGUGAGUAACGCGUGAACAAUCUGUCCCAGACAGGGGGAUAACAGAUGGAAACAUCUGCUAAUACCGCAUAAGACCACGGGGUCGCAUGGCCCUGAGGUAAAAGGAGCAAUCCGGUCUGGGGUGAGUUCGCGUCCGAUUAGCUAGUUGGCGAGGUAACGGCCCACCAAGGCGACGAUCGGUAGCCGACCUGAGAGGGUGAUCGGCCACAUUGGGACUGAGACACGGCCCAA
rnacentral:rRNA from 1 species